GGUUAUUGUGUUAUUGAUAAAUGAUUAUAUUUUUAAAACUGAUUUUCAUAUAUUGUUUCGAAAAUUCUAGAUGAUUAUUAUGUGAAUAUAUGUGUGAGGUGAGUAAGUGGUAUUGGUGGAUUUGUUGGUUAAUUAAUUAUGGUUAAUUAUGAGUAUUAUAUGAUUAAUAUAUGAAUUUUUGUGAAUUUUAUAUUAUCUGGUUUAUUGCGUUAACUGCUCAUAUGUGUUCGUAUUUGAGAGAUUUCAAUUUCUAUAUGCUCAGGAGAAAAUAUAGUUUAUUUGGAUAUUUUCAUAUCGAUUUAUGGAAUGUUAGAUGAUUUUAUAAUCGAUUUACGGAUUUAAUUGCGUAUAUUUAUAUUUAUUUAUUAAUUAUUUGACUUCCGUAAAACCGUCCACUCGUAACGAGGUAGCAAAUUUUCUUUCCGGAAGUUUCAACAAAACUGACCUUUAGCCUAAUUUGAAUAUUCCGGACACUUUUCGUGUUUUGACUUUUUCGAUCCGGAGUACGGUUUUUCCCGGAGUCGGUCCGGCGGAGUUUUGCGGGUAUUUGAAUUGUUGAUAAUUAUCUAGUUUGCCUCGAAAUACGUGAAAGCUAGAUAUUUUGAUUAUUAUAUUACUUUUUAUCGAAAUACGUGCAAAUGGGACCCGCAGACUAAUCAUUGCUUUUAAAAGCCCCGUUUUGAUGAUUAUCUUGAAAACCAGUACCGAUUGGACCCCGCUUUAUUAAUAUAAAGCUAUUAAAUACGUAUUUUCAUGUCAUACACGAUCCAAAGGGGUACCAAUUAUUUGUAAAUAUAAAUAGACCUUUCUAGAGCUUAUUUUCACCGUAGAAAUCAUUUCACCAGUUUCUCUGCACGAAUACCGAGAGAAACCAAGCGGUGUUCUUCGUGUUCUUCAUAAUCAAACGAAGAUUUGAAGGUGUUAUUGGAAUCCGAUGGAGCCGUAUGAAUAGUCAAAACGAAGCUAUCGACGCGUAGAAUCCAGUUUAAUCAAUCAUAACCGUGCAGAUUUCACGGGAUUUGGACGAGACGUGUAUGCCCGAAGACGUUCAGAAAGUCACGUGGUGUUACAAAGCGAAUAAGGGAUGAAUCGAGUAAGCGAAGCAAAGAUGUACGGUAGAUAGAGUAUAGCCAGAGAUGGUCUAGAGACUAUGAGAUGCAUAGAUUGUGAAAGUGGAAAGAUGAGAUUGAGAUUGUGAAUAAGGCUAAUGCUAGGCGAGGAGACAGAAUUGAGGAUCCAGUGGUCGAGGAGUGUUCAGGAAAGUUGAUGAGGUUGGUGCAAGCUAGAGCUGUGCUAUAGGGAUUCAAGUGUAAGUCAUAGCUGGAAUAGUUGACAGUGAUUCUUCUUAUCGAAGAUGAUCUGAUUUGGUAAGAAAUGUUGUGUAAUAUUAGUGGUGGAUUCUAAUUUCAAUACUGUAACCUAGAUGCGAUCCUGUUGCUUUUAGGGGGUUGAAAUGUUCUCUUUCGAAUCAAUUAUUAAAGUUUAAAUGUUCUCUUGAAA